UACGUAGGUGGCAAGCGUUGUCCGGAAUUAUUGGGCGUAAAGCGCGCGCAGGCGGUUCUUUAAGUCUGAUGUGAAAGCCCACGGCUCAACCGUGGAGGGUCAUUGGAAACUGGAGGACUUGAGUGCAGAAGAGGGAAGUGGAAUUCCAAGUGUAGCGGUGAAAUGCGUAGAGAUUUGGAGGAACACCAGUGGCGAAGGCGGCUCUCUGGUCUGUAACUGACGCUGAGGCGCGAAAGCGUGGGGAGCAAACAGG
rnacentral:rRNA from 1 species